UUGUAAACAGUUGGGAAAAUUCGAGAAGAUUAUCGAGCCGAUUCCACGGACGAGCGAGUUCCUUCUCUGUUUCUUGUAGGAGUAAAUUGGUGGGUAGCUGUUCUUUGCAGUCUCGCCAUACGCGGUAGCACGCGAACACUACAGGUUGCCUAGCCUCGAAUUCGUAGGCGUCGCAAUGCCAUUAGCAGCCUGCAAAUUCCCGUAAACAAAAAUUCCAACUAUAUUCUCUUGAAAUACACCCACGCGGUGGUCGUGCGCGCCGACCGAAAUGAUUUACUAGGCAAACGGUUCGCCUUCGAAUAGUCGCGUUCUUUGCGUAAGAUCGUUUCGAAUUUUCCUGCGUGGGAACGGCUUGAUUUAUCUAGACAUAAGUAUCCCCGGUGUUCGUUUAACGAACAUUCAAUUAUUGGCUUGACAACAUUCAAUUAUUUCGUCAAACUCGAACGUCAAUCUAUUGUGAUACCAGUCCUUGUCUUCUCGUUGCUCUUAUCGCUUAGACCGCGUAAAUAUUUGUGUUUUUCUUCGUUUGAUGUAAUAAAGUAGGAUUAUUUAAGUUAUCUAAGCUUCAACAUCUGGAGAUUUAAUCUUGAACCUUGCACAGAUUAAUCAUAUUUGUUGUAGUAUUAUGAGACUCUAUUGCUCUUUAAUGUUAUAACGAAAGAAUGAGAAAAUAUCAUGUACAUGCUCUAGAUUCAGUAGGAGAAGAUGUUAGGAACAAGAAAAUAAUUCGAAUAACUAUAUUGUAGGUUUAUUUGUGAGUGCAGUCAGACACUCUCGCUUUUUUAAGAUAUUUAGUGAGAAGUAUUCUAAAAUAGCAAAAAGAAAGCAAAAUCGGAAGUACUUAAGACGAGUUUCAUUUGAACUCUUUGGACAUUUACUUUCACGGUGUAUUAUUAGCGUGCAGUCAAUGAAAAUUAAUACGAGCUGAAUAUAACCAUAAAAAGCUAAUAUUUGAGGAAACUGUGGAUAAAAUUCAGUUCAAAUAGAGAAAUCUCUGUGCUUCUCUAUUAUGGUGAAUGAUGAAUUAUACGUGUCAUUUGGCAUAUGUAAAUUUAUGUUCUCUUAUACGAUCAUUUAACAGCAGCAUAGAUAAACGACAAGCGUUGAAAAUUGUUCAAUCCCACUUUCAUCGUUUUCCAAUAUUUCUCCGGUCGCGACAAGCAUCGACACGAUAUCCCCGUAUGACCUGCGGCAUUAAAUCUUUGCGGUUAAUUUAACACGAUCGGUUGAAGUAAAACGAGGGAAAAAAGCGUAAGAGGUGACAGGCGACGAGGCGUAGUGGUUGGCAAGCCCCGCGACUUUCGGUCCGGCGGUUACGUUUCAAAUGCAAAUGGUGGUAUAAAUUAUUCGAUUCAAUAAUAUCGAAGCGUAUGUGGGUGAUAGCAACGCGUAAAAUUCGUAACGUGCACGUCACACGCUGUAUUACCGGCUGCGUGUGCAACGAGUACAUAUUUCUCGCCCGCGCAUAGAAAGCAGUUCCGACCACGUUGCUGGCCCACGCGUCCUCAACUCCAAACCGUACACACUCCUUUCGGCCCUACCCUGCUUUUUCGUUGCAUUUUAGUCUUUAUUUAAGUUCGACUGAAAUUUCAUUGUCAGACGGUGUUCGCGAUCUUGAUUAAUUAACUCAACUUUUCGUUAAUUUCUUAAUUUCGUUACGUAAGUACAUGAACGACGUUCAUUUCUCAAAAAACAAAUGAUUUACGUACUUUUAAGAUGACAUAAAUAAUAGUAAAUAUUAUAAUAGGUAGUAUAUUUUAACUGUUUUUUUUUUCUUAGAACUUCUAUUUUACAAUUAAAUUUCUUAUAAUGACGCAUAUUGUAACUCAGCGGUCUAUUUGUCAUUUGUCAAUUCACUGAUAUCGUUAGUUGAUAAAUUAAAUUGGAAAUUGCAGAAGUUAUUGUUUCAUAUAGCUUUGAUGCGGAAUGAACAUCCAUACACAGUUAUGUAAGACAGUAUAGUAGAUACCGAAUACAUAAACGAUAGUGAAUAGAUCUGAUUCGUGUCUCUGGUUGUCGUGGUAUUUUUUAUUAGCAAACGAUUAUCCAGACCGGAUGUCGAGUAUCACGAUUGCCUGUUAGUGAGCAGGGUCAGGUUAGGUCAGUUCUGAAGUCACCGUGUCGAAUCUCGAACGGAUCUGUAUUCGCGAAUGAGAGGAAUGCGAUAGACGUGGUGCGCCGUGAAAGGAACAUACGAAGCUCGUACAGAAAAAGACGACACGACUUUUAAGUACGUGAUUCUGCAAACAUUGGCCGAAUUAGGGCCGUCUCGUGCGCUGUUGAUCAUCAAAUGGUUCAGUAUGAAUUUAAUAACUGGCGGUUUUUCACCGUAGCGAUAUUAUUCACUUAUACAACUUAUUCGUAAAAAAAUAUUACUUUAUAUUACAAGUAUUUGCACAUAUCCUUAUUUUUCAAUGAAACAGCUUCUUUAUCAGGAUUUACAUUUCGAUCUCGUAAUAUCCAAUUUUUGAUUCCAAUAACUUGAAAUAACUUGAAAAGUCCAGCUGACCCGAGAUUUCUGUACACCACUGUAAAUACGCGAACAUGAAGAUCAUACCCAUUAAAUCGCAUGUUUUUGAAAGCGAACUAACUGUUUCACUGUCUCUCUCUUUCUGCUCGUGUUUUACGUGGAAUUUUAUUACACUGUUAUACAUGUUGGUUUAUAUGUUGUCAGCCGAAUCAGUAAUUAAGAAGUCGUUAAGACGAUUGAAAAAUCGACUUCUUAAAAAAAAAGGAGAGAGAGAAAAGAAAGAAAUGCCUCGACGAAAAUAACGAAUUAAUGGGCAGGAAAUGAGUAGGAUUGAUGAAAAUACGAUUGGUUUCCAAAGAUAAAGUCCAUGAACAACGUCGGAGGUAUUUCCACGGCUUCCAUCGUUAUCGGGCGUAUACGCGCGUUGCGCAACGGCCUCGAUAGGCGCUUUAACGUCGAGCGGAAAUCCGGCGGAUUCUUUUAGCCUGCCGUUUUCUUGCCGUUCCGCCAUUCCUUUUCUUCGUCUUAUCCCUUUUCCUCCUUCUUCUCUAGUCGUCCGCUGGUGUUCUUGCUCGUCGCUCGAUGACCCGAACUUAUGUUCGCGUUACUUUUCCUUGAUAGAUUUUUCCAUUCUUAUCCGCUUCGAUAGUCGAUCGUUGAUCGUAUUUGUAGCGCAUCUUGCUUGGUCGACGCGAUAAUAGGAUUCAUACACUGAUAGGAAUCUCGAGGUUGUUGAAAUAAGUAACAAGAUAAUAAGAUCGAAGACUAAAAAUGAUCGUACGACUGAUAGAAUUAAUGAUAUGAUUUGUGAAAGGCUGAAAAAUAAUCGAAUUUCUUUACAAGAACACAAGGUUAGAGUGUUAUGUCAUGAACGACGAUGAGAUGAAGAAUGGAAGGAUCGAACGAAUGGUAGAAUUAAUGAUAUGUGUUGAAGAUUACAGGGGGAAAUAUGAUAAGUAGAAUUUUGUUGAUUUUCUAAUUUUCAUAUUGUUUAAUGAUUAAAGGGAUGUACUUUAACAUAGCAUAGUUAACAAAAGGAACAAAAGGAAUUUCUGUAAAAUUUAACAACAUUAUGCCGUGUUAGAAAGUUCAUUAAAGAGAUGGAAGAUUUAUGAUGAUCUUACAUUGUACUUCGAUUAGAUUCAAUGAAAAACGGCUAGUAUCAGAGAUAGCGAUUGGAACGGAGCAGGAAAUCAGUUUUGGAAAAGAAAAUAUCGAUUAUAUGACAAAAGGUUGGGAUAGUAUGUUACGCUUAUCUGGUAACUUUCUGUCUACCUGGAAUCAUAUUUUUUCCUAUGCAACUGAAUAGGCCGAUACGGGCGAGGGUAGAUCGAUCGUGUCUCGUUAAAGCACGCUCCCCUUGUCGACGAUGCUUCAGUCCCUUUUACGAAGUCGUGUCACGACAGCUGGAAGCUCGAACAGCGUUAGACGAGUAGCCGGUGAGAAAGAGCCCGUCUAGGCAAAAGGUCUCUGAAGACGAAAGACUCUUUUAUCAUCACAGCCUCAACAACACGCUAUCUUUCGUGCGUGAAGUCCUAUUCAAAUUUUAUAAAAAGGUCUCCGCUCUGAUUUUCCUUACUUUUUAUCAUUUAAUCAAAGAGAUUAAAGGAAGAUUAAAUAUCUCGUUCUUUUAUAUUAAAACGGAUAUUUUUCCAAUUAACCUUCGGACGAUAUCGGACGUAACAGAAAAAAUUGUUCUUUCCUCCCUGAAUUUUAGAAUUUAUCUAAAUCUUGAUAAUAUCAAAUGGUCUUCGAUAUGCCUUUAUAUCUAUCACACAUCGUUACGUGAAAAUAUGGUUGAACCUUGAAGACCAUUAUUUUAAAAGUUAUGCGUAUAUAAAAACCAUGCAUAUUGUACAGUUCAAAUAUUCAACUAAUAUACGCUUACGUUCUAAAAUAAUGGUCUCUACACCUUGGGAUUGGUAUUCUUAGAUUUUAGUCAUUAAAAGUAAUCGUAAAUUAAAAUACAAAAAGUCACAGACUCGAUAUGCUCCAAAACGAUGCUCAGUCAAAAAUGUUAUCUGUGUAAAGAAAUGUUAUAACAUAGGAUCAUAAUGUUAGGUAUCAUUUUAAUGCCAUAACGGCUCAGGCAUAAUUAGCGGAACGGCGUUACGAAUUUAAAUGCGACUUCCCGUCGGUUGGUAGUUCGACGUUUGAUGAUAGUUAUAUCAAGGAAACGCGAAGAAGAUUUUCAAACCACCACGAAUUAUAUUCCCGUCCGGAGUGACAGGAACUAGAAACUCCGUCGUGUGUGAGUCCCCUUCCGGCGGAAGGCCGCUCGUAACGUUCUUCCUUUCCCUCCCAUCUCCUCUCCCUCUCUCUCUCUCUCUCUCUCUCUCUUUCUUUCUCAUUCCCUCUCUCUUGUUCUCUGCGCUCUCUACUCUCGAUCUCCCCCUCGUUUUCCUUCUCGUCCGGUAGCAGGUACCAGAAUAUAUUUGUAAAUUUACUGAUUGCGAGUAGAAAAUUAACACGUCGGAGCGGAUUGGCCGAGCGGGACUGCGAGGGAAGCUAAUUAACGAGCACACGAACGGAAUACGAAACGUGUUUCAUUAUCGAGCACGAUAGCGAGCUGUACAAAUUUUUCACUAACUUGUAGCGAGAGACGUUCGACGCAAUAUAGAGACACACUAGAAAAAGAAACGGAGGAUUAAAAGGAUUCACACCAAGAAACGUGGCACAUUUCUUCGAGAUGUAGUGGCUCGUCGAAGUAUUUUGCAUUUAUAGAAACUUUCUUUUGAAUAUAAUGCGUUAGGUCGUCGGGAAAACUUUUAAGUAGAAUUAGACGUUAUUUGAUAGAAAUUUGCAAUCAGAACGCUGUGAAGUUUUCGGACAGCCCAAUAUUAUGGUAUGUAAUGCGAAAUAUAUUGGAGUUUCAUUAAACAAUUAUGAUUAUAUUGAUAGAACUUGGGACAAAACUGAUCGCAAAAAUAGAUACAUUUCAAACACUAUUCAUAUAAUCACGAUAGUUGAUUCUCAUUAUAUCGCUAAUAAAAUGUCAGAAUGUUUCGUAUAAUACAUACAAUAUAUUCAUAGAAGCGUUUCUACAAGCGUUCGAAUACCUUUGUGAACCACUUGUACGUUCUACCAAUCUAUGUCUGUGAACAGUAUGCAAACAGAUAACAAACAGACGGUUCAUGAACUAUUCGCAAAUACCAAUAAGGGCGUGCUUGUAGAACAAGAGGGAUGGCAUUCGAACAACAUUCUAGACACGACCGUGCGCGCAAAAGGGAAAAACGUCUCGGUUAAUAUUAGAGGAAAGGUCAAAAUGUAGUGAAGAAGGGCAUAUAAGUGGAAGAGAUGCCGCCCCCUCAAAAGAGGAAUGAAAAGAAACGAAAAAGGAAAAAAUAUAAAAAAAAAAGUAGACGAAAAGAAAAGAAGGUUAGAUGAGGAGGGAUAGGAAAGGGUGACGAGACAGCUGAGGAUGGGGGUGAAACGAACAUACGUGGGACAGCGUACCUACGUUUAGAGCGUCUACCGAGUGAUAAACGACCGGAAGGAAGCCAGAGGCGUUUCCACGAAAGUUAGAGACAAGCCGGAAGGCCGAAAGGCGGGAUGUGGUUGGUGAGUAAAUGGCAUCGAUGCGUUAGUAUGUGCGUAUUCUACCUCAUUCCAACCUUUCCCUCUCCCUCCCCUUUCCAUACGUAUUUCUCACUCUUUCGUUCUCGUUGUCGACUCCCUUCCUCCCUUCACUCUUUCUCCUUCCGUCGUGUUUCUCUAAGUAGGCAGCUGGUUAACGUUGCUAUCGUAGCGAAGGAAAAAAAAGGAGAAAUAGCUUGGGAAAGAGAGAUGCGAGAGGAAGAGAGAUAAAGAGGACGGAGGAAAGGCGAAAGAGAGGCAAAGAGAGAAGAAACUGAGAGAGAAACGCUGCUGGCCGGAUGUCGAGUUUCCAAUGUCGAGUAGAUCAUUUUACCCAGGCUCGCGAUUAAUUUUGUUAACGACGAAUACGAACUAUAAUCGCAUCGUCGACGAAACAGAGCGAAUCUUGCGAGUUCCUCGCUCGGAACAGAAUAUGCAUAUCGUUCUACUUUCAGGUCUGGAUUCCUUCUUGACGUAUCGAAUUUAAAUGUCACUUGCCCACCACUUACGUAUAUUUUUCGCUAUUUAGAGGAAUCUUUAAUUGAAUGUAUCUAUGUACAAGAAAACGAGCAAAUGUAAAAAACACGUGACACCAGAGAAACAGGGGGUGUGAACGCUUUGGGCUCGAAUCGAUAUAUCGACCAGCAAACCUGAUUCUCCGCUCUUGUUGUUUAGGAAAAGUUUCUAACGUGUUGUUAAUUGAUUUAUUCUCAUGUUCUCGCAACGUGUAAGAGACAUAAACUAUCAGAUAUACUAUCAAAUACGAAGUGUAAAGAGUAGAUACCAGCAAGAUUUUCAGAAACAGUUGUUCAUUCAAUGAUGUUGAUUGCGAACGAAGGAAGGACAUCGCCGCUGGUAGUGGGGAUUUCAUUCAUCGACGCAUCCGUCCGACUCAUUAAGUAGCCGAUAGAUCAAAGGUAUAUCGCACACGUGACCGAUCUAAGCAACUGAUUAGCCAUUCAUUGAGAUAUUGACAAAACUCGUAGCAAAUGCGAUAACGUAGAAUGGUUACUUCUGAUGCGUAUUACAUUCUUUAAUAUAUAUCUUGGGAGAUUUUUUUAUCGAAAAUGGAAUACAUAGUACACGACUUGAAAAUGUUACGUUGCAUUUGAAAGUUUCAAAUUUAGAAAGUUCAUAGCGUUCCCAAUAGUGCAUAUCUUCUACAUUGUAUUUGAUAGGAUUGAAGAAAUCCUUUUUCAGGUAUGUAUCGUUAUCGAGUAAUUAUCGUGAAUUUUUACCAAAUAUUAAAAUAUUAAGUUCGAACAGAUGUUACUCUUGGUUCAAAAUAAGAUUGAUUAAUUAGCGGUUUUUUUAUCAAGAGAACAUACGAUCCAAGUUUAAAAAAAAAAUUCUUUCGUUACUUUCUAAACGAGCCAAUAUUCCCUAAUAUUUAUAGUAGUAUAGGUCUCGAAAGAGAGAGCGAGGGAGAAAGAAUGCCGCACAAAUCUCAUUUUGUGCAUGCACUUAAAGCAGCGAGCCACACCAACGACGGCGGUUGGCUGUUAGCCGCUGAGGUUCGUACAAACUAUAAAGCUUUCUAAAUCGGUGCGGCUCACGAAAAUAGACUUCCGGUUCCCGUCUCACGCGUUCACUUGCUGCGCUGUGUCUGCUCCCGAGUAUGCCAACACCGAUCCUCUUUUCGUCUCGUUUCGCUUUGCUUUUCCUUUACCCUCUUUCCCUUUCCCUUUUCCACCUCUCCUCGUCUUUCUUUUGUUUGUCUUCCACGGAAACCCAUCUUGAACGAAGGAAACGUAAAAAUUAGAAUUCCUCUAUAAACAACUUUCAUUGACGAUUCGAACAUCAUAUUGUUUUCUAUUCGAAGCUUUAUCGAUCGUAAGAUAAAUAUUCAGAGUUUGAUCGAGACGGAGCUAGGGAUUGCAAUACAGGUGGCUCCCGUAUUUGCGUCCUGUCUUUUUAAGCGUUAUAUGAAUAUAUAAUAUAGAUUGCGAUGUUAUUCUUGCAGUUCUGUUAUUAAAUGUGGGAUUCGGAAAAUAAGCCAAAACGGCAAUCGUAUGAUCGAUGCGUUUCCUUGUUUCCUCUUAAUCCUCUAUCUACGAUAUAUGGAUCAUUCAAAAGCCAUACUGAUCAAACGUAUUAAUUGAAACGCAAUGAAAAAUCACAAUAUUUUUCUAAAUUUAUUGUGAAGCUUGUGAUUAUACUAUCUUGUUGUGAGAAAUAAAUUCUAUUCUCUUUCAGAUGAAUAUUAAUUAUGUAUCUGUGAAUCCUAUUAUGUAAAGGUGGAGUUAAUUAGUUUGGUUUCUGAGAAGCUCAUAUACAUAUCUAUACAGCGGAAGCUUUCCUACGUGUUAUAUAAAAUAUUUUGAAAUUUCAUUAAUACCGUAAGGAAACACAAUUGUCACAACUAUAUCGCUAAAAUUUGAAAUCCAUCUGAAGCUGCGUAUGGAAAUUUUAGACAUUUAUGUACGAACGCAUAUGUACUUACAAUAACACGUGAGCAGCCAGAUUUCUACAGGUAUUCGAAUCCUUUCGCGCGCUGCUAUAUAGACAUCAUCAUACAGACAUCACAUUACAAUCUGUUUAUACUUUUUACCAAAUACCGUUUUCUCAUUUAUCAAAGAAAAUCGCAAAGCCUAGACGAAGACAGUUAGAAACGUUGGAAAAGGGGAAAAAACUUUGCAAUGAUGUUUCGAGAGGACGCGCUUGUUUUAUAGAGUUAAUGAAGCUCGUGCAGCUUCGGCCGACGUAGGUAAUCAGUUUUUUGUUCUGGGUAAUCGAUCAUAUCAAUCAGAUAGAGAUAAGUUGUUCGGAUAGAACUGGCAAUUAUCGGAGAUGAUGGCAUCGAGGUUAAUCGCGUGUCCGUUCCGGGACGAUGUAAGUAAGGUCUGUUGCCAGGAGAGAAAGAUGGUCGGUAAUUACUGUUAAAUCUGCGCUGUUAGCUCAACAUAAAUUUCCGUGGUUUCUCCUGCGGUGCGAGAGCGUGCGUGGCUCGUGUGAUGUCAGUCGGACGAUUCACGCUUCUGGCUACUCUGUAUCGCGCGCUCACAGUUGGCCUGCGAUACGCGUUCUUUGAGUACAUCGGCUGCCACGUUGGCCUCGUUGGUCGGUUUACUAAACUUAGACUCAUUCAGAAUGGCCGGCUUUCGAAUCGGGUGUCCACGGGCCGGGACCGCGUCAUGUCGUGCCACGGCACGUUUCUUGGCGACCGUAAACAAGGGAAUCAGGCUGCGAGAACUUGACUGUGUACGCACGCCGACGAGAAAGGAACGCGGUUGAAUGAAAGCAAAAAUAAUCCUGCCUGCCAGAGAUAUAUGUGCUCGAGUUUGAUACGCAAUGUGAUUACUAAUUACCGACCGGGUGACACGUAAAUAUAUAUGAUGCAUGAUAAAUACGAAUUAGCCAUGAUUAUAACGAAUGCCUGUUCUGUUGUUGUUCCGACGAGAUGUCAUUUCGACGAAUACGCUGGAGCAAUCGAACGUAUAUAGAUUCUUAUGAGCGUAUGAUCUUCAGAUGUUUCAUACCUCAGAACGACAGUUCGUUAAAACGCGCAUACUCUAUAACCAUAGCUUUGAGCGGUUGUUUACAUUUUAAACGUUUAGUCGGAAAAUAUGAAACGAUGAAAGUUUGUAAAUCGGCGCUAUAACGUCUACCAGUUUCCAUGGGUUUUACAGUAAUUUCUUGGAUAGGCUAUUUAGCCUAUCUUGGAUAGGGUAUUUCGUAAGAGGCUAAUUAGGUCGGAAGGCAAAUAUUUCGAAGUUGGUCGCGAGUGCUUGUUUCCGGACGUGAAGAUUAGAGUGACGCUAAUCACCGGAUAGAUCGGACGACAAACGUUGGUAUUUAAUUAGUUGCUCCUUUCGGUACCAAGUAUCUGAUAUCCACGUAUCGUCUGGCGAUACACAAUCGUGUGGCAUAGAGAUAACGCACGAGGCGAGUAAAGUGCGAAUAAAAAGAGAGAGAGAGAGAGAGAGAGAGAGAAUGAAAGACGACGACGUGGGAUGUUAAAUGAAUGGGUGAAAUAGUUCGCUUUUAAAAUAUGGCGUUGUUAACAUACUAAAUUAAAUUCCAGUUCGGGCUAAGAAGAAAAUAAAUUCUUUCAAAUAAAAUUUUUGUUUUCCCAUGGUUGGCUUCCCACGUGUUCCGAGGCUGAAACGCUCAAGAAGAAAAAAGAUCCGUGGUAACCCACGCGAAGACGAGGAAGACGUCGCGAAUUCUCGCCAAACGCGUUCCCAUCUUCUUUCUCCCUUCUACACGAAACGAGACGCGCUGCAAUUUUCCCACUCGAAUUCGAAAAAACAAUUGGUCAAACCUGUUUACUCCCAGUCGCAUUGCUAACGGAGCGCACAGCGGUGUCGCGCGAAUUAACACGCCACUCUUGCACCGCGAAAAACAAAGCAUCGAAAGACACGUAGUACACUGUCGGCUAUCACUAUUAAGAUACUGGCUGAUAUUUAAUAUAUAUUGAACUUCACUGCUUUUACUUUCUACUUAUUUUAUUAUAAAUAUUUCGUUCGCGUCGUACAGCCUAGUUAUUUUGUUACGUGUCUCUUUUAUUCGUACCCUACAGCCUAAUUAUUUUAUCAUAAACCUGCCUUAUUUGCAUCUUAUAGUCAACCGCAUAAAUAUUCGUCCAUUUAUCACAGUCGACUUUUUCAGCCCUUUAUAAUGUCCUUUAAUAUCGUUCUAAUAUAAUAUUCAAUAUUUUACAGCUGUAUAACGAUUGUAAAAGUUUCUAGGAACGUUAUCUUAGUUGGACUCAUACUUAACACUAGGUUUACGGGACUCGUCAAUUUAACGGAUUUCAAACCUCGAAAUGAAAUAUCCCAAAAACCAUAGCAUUAAUUUUAACCAUUGCAUCAUAAAUUAGUCAUUUCAUCUAGAGAAUUUAUACACACAAUUAUUUUUUCCUAGGCUUUCUAAUUUUUGAAAUCUGUAUGUAGUAUACCUAUCUGUACGAAACCCGUUAAAUUGACGGGCUAGCUGAUUUCAUAAACAAACCGUUUUUCAAAGACAGUGUGCAAAAGUUUCAGUUAUUGUAGACAUUUCCCAUCAUUGUCUCCACUUAUUCAAUCAUGAGUAAAUGCAGGAGAUAUAAUAAGACAUUGAACAAAAUUGUCAACAUCGAUGAAGAUUGUUCUGAGGAUACCUCCGAAGAAGAUCAAUAUGAAUUAGGCCAAAGCGAAGCUGACAGUGAAAGUUCUGAAUACACUGAAAGUGGAGAGAUAGAAGGAUCUUCGGAUAAUGAAGAGGGAAACAUUUUGAAAGUGUGUCGUAACAAGAAAAGGAUGCGUAUUUUUUCUAGUUCUGACUCCGAGGAUGAAAGGACGAGCAUUCCAAGCACAUCCCAAAAUGUAAUGGGUGAAAUUGAAAUUGCAAUUGACGGGACACAGUGGAUAAAACUGAAAGCAGGCGGAUCUAGGGAUAGGACGCCCGUUCGUAUGAUAUUCAAGGAUAUCGCAAGGCCUACUGGCUAUGCUAAGAGAAAUAUUAUGCCGGGUUGAGUAACUAGUGCUUUCGAAUUGAUAAUUGACAGACACAUAAUGGAACAUAUAAAAGAUUGCACUGAAACCGAGGCGCAUCGAGUUUUGAAAAAAGACGGACAAUCAUAGUUGCCGAGUUGCGUAGUUUUCUAGGAAUUCUAUAUGCCCGGGACGCAUAUGAAGGGAGAUCAUUGAAAGCUUCCGAAAGAUUAUAAACAGAUAAAUUUGCGCUGAUAUCCGAAAUAUGGAACAGAUUUAUAAGUAAUAGCCAGGCUUGUUACAAGCCAUAUAAAAAUAUCUCAAUAGAUGAACAAUUAUUUCCAACGAAAGCACGAUGCAUAAUAAGCCUCAUAAAUUUGGCAUUAAGUUUUGGUUUGCAGUUGACGUCCAAACAAAAUAUAUUUUGAAUGGUAUCCCUUAUAUGGGGAAAGAUGAAACUCGAUGCUCAAGGGAAAAAAAGGACAAGAUGACUUUGUUUUCCUCAAAUUUAUAUGUCGGAGUCAGGUUGGCAUUUUGGGGCGUUCGAUGAACCUUUACUUACUUUACCGUCGCGAAUGUAGCCAAUAUUUAUCAGUACGAAUGUGGACACUACAAGAGGCUAUGAGUCAUGGUAAUAGGAUGGUCGAGAUGAUGGUGACAGUGAAUUCAGGUUCGAUAACGAAUCCACGAUCUACGGGAGGACAAGUAUCAACGUACUACUCGAUUCGGAUAACUCAAUCGGCAAUUCGUCCAACGACUCUAACACUCCAACUCUAACUCUCUUAAUCCAAAAGAGGCUGCCCUUAUAUACUCCUGUCCCCGCUUCUCGGGUUAAUCUUUGUUUUUAAGGAGAGCCAUAUAAUCGUUUCAUACCUCUGUCAGGUACAUGUCCCUCCCGUGACCGUGGCUACGUCCGGUGACCUGCCAUGUCACUUCGAGCCCAAACCCAUCGUCAUAAAGUCAGAUUGGAACAUUAAGACUAUUUCUUAUUUUUAUUACUUAAGGGCGGCUAUAGUAAAAGUCUGAACUAGUGUAUUGGGAUUUUUCCCAACAUUCCGGACGGGAAAUCCCGCUGUCUUUCCAUCUCCGACAUAUAUAAAUCAGAAAACUGCACGCUUACCGUGUAUAAAAGUAAACCUAACGCAAAAGUCCUCCUUCUAAGCACAAAAAAUACAGAUAUACAAGUAGAAGACAAUUAUAAAGGUGAUCCAGAAACCAUUGCUUUCUAUAAUAAAACAAAGUUUGGUGUGGACGUCGUUGACCAGAUGGCACCCAAAUAUAGUGUGAAAGCAGGGAGUUUCCGAUGGUCCCUUCAAGUUUUUUUUUCAAUAUUUUAGAUUUGGCAGCGAUAAACGCGUGGAUAUUACGCAAAGAGUGCACCGGAUCGAAAAUAUCCAGAAAGGAGCUCAUAUUUUGUCGAAGAUCAGACGCUUCAUUUCUGGGUCUUUCAACGUCAGAAGUGCGAAAUAGUUGCCAAGUGGGCUACUGCAAAAAAAGAUAGAAGAAAUAAUUGUUGCAUAUAUUGCAAAAAGAUCGUAUGCGGAAAAUGCACAAACAAAAUUCAGUAUACUUGUAAAAAGUGUGCUCAAUAAAUAUGAUUACCCUAUAGCGUUAA